rnacentral:rRNA from 1 species
GUUCUCUUGGAGCGGCGGACGGGUGAGUAUACCUAGGAAUCUGCCUGAUAGUGGGGGAUAACGUUCGGAAACGGACGCUAAUACCGCAUACGUCCUACGGGAGAAAGCAGGGGACCUUCGGGCCUUGCGCUAUCAGAUGAGCCUAGGUCGGAUUAGCUAGUUGGUGAGGUAAUGGCUCACCAAGGCUACGAUCCGUAACUGGUCUGAGAGGAUGAUCAGUCACACUGGAACUGAGACACGGUCCAGACUCCUACGGGAGGCAGCAGUGGGGAAUAUUGGACAAUGGGCGAAAGCCUGAUCCAGCCAUGCCGCGUGUGUGAAGAAGGUCUUCGGAUUGUAAAGCACUUUAAGUUGGGAGGAAGGGCAGUUACCUAAUACGUGAUGUCUUGACGUUACCGACAGAAUAAGCACCGGCUAACUCUGUGCCAGCAGCCGCGGGUAAUACAGGAGGGUGCAAGCGUUAAUCGGGAAUUACUG